UCCGUCAAGCGCCUCCCGCGCG
rnacentral:miRNA from 13 species